AAUGAACGCUGGCGGCGCGCUUAACACAUGCAAGUCGAGCGAGGCCAUGGCUUCGGCCAUGAGUCGAGCGGCGAACGGGUGAGUAACGCGUGGGUAACCUACCCUGGAGUGGGGGAUAGCUCCUCGAAAGAGGGGGUAAUACCGCAUACGUUCUCCGAGGCACAAGCUUUGGAGAGGAAAGGCAGGGAUCCUUCGGGACCUGUCGCUCCUGGAUGGGCCCGCGUCCGAUUAGCUAGUUGGUGAGGUAACGGCUCACCAAGGCGACGAUCGGUAGCCGGCCUGAGAGGGUGAUCGGCCACAUUGGGACUGAGGCACGGCCCAGACUACUACGGGAGGCAGCGGUGGGGAAUCUUGGGCAAUGGGCGAAAGCCUGACCCAGCGACGCCGCGUGGGGGAUGAAGGCCUUUGGGUUGUAAACCCCUGUCAGGGGGGGCGAACGUUCCGCGUCGAAUAAAUGCGGAAUCUGACGGUACCCCCAAAGGAAGCCCCGGCUAACUCCGUGCCAGCCGCCGCGGUAAAAC
rnacentral:rRNA from 1 species